AAACUGGCCCCAUGCUGGGCAAUUAGUUAUUGUAUCCAUGUUCCUUUGAUUGUUUCUAGACACUUGGGAGCAGUGGGACACUUCUUAUUCAGGGAAUUGUACCUAUUCUCUUUCCCCCUCCCAAUUUGGGUCCAGCUGAGGAAGGGGCUGGUUCCAGUUUGUUGGGCAAUUGGCAUGCAUUAUUUAACAAAUCAAUACAUUCGGAAGAUUGAACCUUUGUUUCUUCAGUCAUUUAAUCUUUCAUCCACAACAGAAGGAAAGCAACUUUGUAAAGAUCAUACAUGUGCAGUCAUGCAAAACAUAUUUCCACAUUAGUCAUGUUGCAAAAGAAAACACUGACUAAAAAAUAACAAUAAAAAAGAGAAAAUUUAUUGAAGUACA
ensembl:lncRNA